UUUAACGCUUUAUAUCCUUCUAAAUUACAAAUUAUUUUUUUUAUUCACAGGUUUCAUAAAAACUAUUUUUCUAAUGGUCAGUUUAGAUUUGUGAUUUGAUUUUUUACACCUGUGUUGCCAAGAUGUUAGCGAAGUCUUUAAACUAAUCUAAAUCAAUAUUUUUAUUCACUUUACCUUAUUCAACUUUGUGAGAUUGAAAAUGGCAGGAUUUUUUAAUUUUAAUUUUGAGGAAGCCAAAAGGCUCUCCGGGUUCUCAGACUGGAUCAAAAAUAGCGAAGGAAAUUGGACGAUCCAACUGGCUAUGACAGAAUGACAGAAUAUCGCUACCAUCCUGAUGCUAUAGUUUUGGUGAUUAAAAAGAAUAAAUUAGUGAUUACUGCCCGGAAAGGGGUGCUUGGAAGUAAUGGACAAAGACAAACAUCUGCAAUGAGAGCGUUCAGUGGGAGUAUUCACUACCUGAUGGAGUAGGGAAAGUGAAGGAGAUUGUAAGGGCCUGGCACAACGGUACCCUUUCAGCUACCUUAAUCGAAUAAAUAUAGGGUCAUCUCAACGCCACGCGACGCCGACGCAUAUUAAUCAUAUUAUGUAAAAAAUAUAUAUGUUUAUUUAAGAGCCUGCAUUUGUAGAAUAUACACACAGUUAAAAUAAAUGCAUUUGUAGACA